AUGAAAUGCAGAUGACCAUAAAGAGCAUUCCAUGUGCUUUACAAGUCUUGAAAGUUUUGUGACUGAUUAUCUACCAUCAUGAUUUAAGCAAAAUCAUUUAAUUUUGCUAUGCUUCUCACGUGAAGGUUUGGCUAUCAUUUGUGUGUAAUCAUUAGUUUACUGGUGAGAAGGCUAAAAUAAUAAUUUAUAGUGUAUAUUUAUACAUAGUACCAUUUACAAUGUGUUUUUUUUUAUGUUAUUUUCUUUUAGAAAAUCAGCUACUGGUGCUUCUGGUUCAAACAUUCAAAGGAAAUGGGGGAAUUUUUACAAAAAGCCAGAGAAUAAGAGUCAAAUUAAAGAAACUAAUCCUGAUAGCAAAAAUAGUGAGCAGUCUAUUGUGUCUGUGCCUAGAAAUAAGACUGUAUAUACUAAACCCAAAAUUCAGAGAAAUGUCUUUAUUAGAAAUAAAGAUGUCACUGUGAAUAUUGAGAAUUCUACUUCACAAGAACCACCAAAGAAGAAACAUAAACCCAUUACUUGGCCAUGAACAGUAUCAGCCUUAAGAUUCAUAAAAGGCAUAACAAUUUGAGGGCCUUUGAAGUGUUAAAGCAGUGGUUCUCAACCUUUUUUGCUCCAUGCAUCCCUUUGAAUGUUGCUAGACCUUAACCCUCCUUUCUCAAACUUGGAAAAAAAUAUGUAAAUUUAUUUCAAUUUUGAUUAUUUUUUAAUAUUUUCAAAAAUUAAAUUACGAAAAAGGUAUAGAAAAUGUUGAUAAGUAUCAAAACAUGAAUAACAGUAAUUUUUUAUAUUCAUGGACUAAAUACUUACAAAUAAAGAGUUUACCUCAUCCCUCCUGAAAAUAUGAAAAUCCUCUCUUGUUGAGAACCACUGUGAAAAUAUUGUUACAUAGUGAAUUGUUGUCUUAUGAUAGAUGGAUUCAUUUUUAACUUUUUGUUGUUUAUGUACUUGGUUUUCAUCAUUUGUUAUUUCAUUUGCUGUAUAUAAUGUCACAUUGUAUAGCUGUAGUUUUCAAUAUGCCUAAAAUUUUUAAUAAUAAAUGAAUGUCAAAAUAUAUAACAUUUUUUAAGAGCUUUGUAAUGUUUUACAUCCAUAUGUAUAUAAACAUUGCUUUUUCUACUACAGUGCAACAAAAAAUCCUUUCCAUGAACUGUCACUUUAUAAUGUUUUCUUAAAAUUAAGGAUUUUAAAAUCAGUAUCUUACAUGUAAAACCAGUAACUUAUAUUUCCCAUUUGGUAAAUUGCUGAAAUAUGUAAAAUUACUUAUUUUGGGAUAAAAUGUUCUACGUUUUAAAUUCAAAGCAUACUUAAAUACAGUAGUGAAGGUUAUUUCAUAUAUUAACUCUGAGUAUUAUAAAGCCACAUAUGAGAGAUUCUGUUUCUCUUUUUAUCUGAAAUAAUUUGAAUCAUUCCUUGAUAAUGCAUUGAUCUGAGUUUCACUUUUUAAAAAUUUUGGUCAUUAAAGUAAGUUUGUGGGGAUUUAAUGCUUAAAUCUUGCAUGCAUAUUUCCUAAAUCUUUUAAUCAUUAUUUUUGUAGAAAGGAGUAUGCAAAAAUGUCUGGAAUUUGAUGGUGGUUUUAUAGAAUAUUAUUUUACUUGUAUAAUAAAUAAUAUUGCAGAGUAAA
rnacentral:lncRNA from 1 species